rnacentral:tRNA from 1 species
CGGCCUGUAGCUCAAUUGGAUAGAGCAGCCGCCUUCUAAGCGGCAGGUUCCCAGUUCAAGCCUGGGCAGGCCGA